GAGGAGCGCCUCUGCCCGGCCACGACCCCGUCUGGGAGCCCAGCAUGUGAUCCAGCUUGAUGAACAUUCCAUGUGCACGUGACAAGAAUGGAUAUUCUGCUGUUGUUGGCUGUAGUGUUCUAUGUCAGCCAUCCCUGUGGGGGUGUCAGUGAUGCUUGGACUCCACUAACUGCACCAUUGUCCUACUCCAUCUCCUUUGAGCCUGCUGUCAACCUCUGCACACAUGGCCUCAGCCCCUAGCCCUGGAUGACCACCAUUAGACCCAGCAGAACGGCAGCAGUGGUUUGCUGGCCCAGCACCUAGAGCUGCAGAAUAUGCUCCCUUGACCCUCAGGGAAAGAUGCAGAGCUAGUGAGACUUACUCUCCUCCACCACCAAAGUGAAGGUGAGUUUACCCUCUCCCUCAUCCCAGGAUCCUCCCUGAAUGGGCCGGGAGCUGCUGCUGACACAUCUCAGGACCGCCAGCUUCAGCCCCGCUCCCAGUGCCUUGUUAACGGUGAGAGCACUAGCGGAAAGAAAGGCGGCACGUCAGGGCAAAAGCAGCUUCUGAGGGCGUCUCCAAGCCCAGCCCUGCCUCCUUGGCAGUGAGGUAUGCCCGCAACCUCCACUUUGCUCUUAGUACUGGGGCCAAAGUAUCCUGGGUGUAAAAUGGGGAUGAUCCUUUCCAUGCCACGGGGUCCUGAGGAUCAUACACAACAGUGCCCCUAAAGCGCCUGGCACAGCACCUGACCGGAGCACACGGGCAACACACAGGCAACAAACAGGAGCUGGAAGAGUUUCCUGUGGCUGCCAGAACAAACACCACAAACCAGAUGUGGCGGUGGGGGGUCAUGCACCCGACAUUUAUUUUCUCACCGUUCUGGAGGCCAGAAGUCUGAGAUCCAGGUGCCGGCAGGGCCACACCCCCUCUGAGGGCUCGGGGUAAGAAGCGUCCUGGCCUCUUCCAGCUCCCUGUGGCUCCAGGAUCCUGGGCUUGUGGCUGCGUCGCUCCUGCCUCUGCCUCUGUCUUCACGUGGCCUGUCCCCAUGUAUCUUUUCCUCUCCUCCUCAGGACAUUUGUCAUUGGAUUUAGGGCCCACCCAGAAUCCAGGAGGGGCUCAUCUUCAGAUCCUUAAUGACAUCUACAAAGACCCUUUAUCUAAAUAGGUCAGAUUCACAGGUCCCGGCGGUUAGGACAUGGACAUACGUUUUUGAGGGCGCCAUUCAACCCGCAACGGGAGCCAUCACAUUCUCAUUUCUCCUUCCUUAAUGUUCUCACGGGCCCAGCACACAGGCCAGGAUGGAGCAUUCUUUGAGGUGUUCCUGGGAGCCCAGCAACAGACUGGGUGUUCAGUGUGCCCCUGUCGGUCUCCACGUGGGCCCUGCAAGAAGGAGCCACCCCCGUUUUACGGGGGGUUCAGGGCUUGUGGCCAGAUGUGCAGCUAGGCCUGGAUCAGGCUCCCGUCCGGCCCCAGUGCGUCUGCCGUGCCCGUGACCCCAGGCUGUGUCUCUCAGAAUCCGCCAAGAUUCCAGGGCAGGUAACUGCAGAGCUCCCCCGAGUCCUGUGCACGCCUCGGCUCACACUGCAGCUCAGCAGCAGCAACGCGGGUGACAGAAACCAGCUCUGUGUCUGUGAGCCUCUGCCUCACCUUCUGGGGGAUGGCACAGUAUUGCUCCAAGACAUGCAAACAGCUGCGGGCAGCAGAGACAGUGAGGCAACCCUGCCACACUCUCCAACCAUGCCCUCCUCAGGCAUGCGGAGAAAGCACCCCUUCAUCUGUGCAAGGAAUCCUCAAGCAGCAGACAAAAUUCAUGCACUGUUAAUUCAGAUGUUACAGUCACAUCCAGUGCUAAGGGCUGUCCUUUGAAAACAGCUGAGGUAGACACAUCUUCCAAGAACAAAUCAUAGAAAUGUUACCAGGCGAUUGUCUUCACAACCUCUGCAUCAGUGAUGGGGACUUGGGGGUAAGCUUUUGGUUGGCGUUGUGAACAGUGCCAGCUCCCUAAAGCAAGCUUGCUUUUCUGUUGUUUGAAAUACUGCAGGAGAACUGAAAUUCUCUUAAAAUAUACCGGUUUCUGGUUCAAGAGAAAUACUUUUUUGCACCAAUUUAAUUCAGGUUUCUAAAGCCGAGGCAGGGAUGGCAUCACAGUCUGUUGAAUGAAUUCCAGCUCAUUUGGGGCCUUUCCAUGACAAAUCAUUCCUAAUGGAAUCUCUCCAAAGCACAGGGGAAAAAAUCGAAGGCAUCAAAGUGCCCUUUCCAUUUCAAUAAACUCCACUGGCCAGGAUUCUGUUUGCAUAACACAGAAUAAACAUGGAACCCAGGCCUGCCCAGCACAUUUACUCCCUGGUUAGCACCUCUGUUCACCUGUUUUCUCUUUUAUAUGAGUGACCAUUUCCUAAAACGCAAUCAAUCAAUCACUGUCAAGUAAGAUCUUGAAAUUAUCACCAUGGAGAAAAGACAUGAAGAGUCUGCAUUAAGGUAACGUGACCGGUGCCUAGAGUGAGGAAGGAGCACGUUCAGAAUGGUCCCGGGUCAUUUUCAAGACCUUCCCCCCGUCACUGUUGGAUGAAGUAAGGAGCCGGACAUCAGUGUUUAUUAAACCAGAUUUAUUCUCCACAAGCUGAAGAUACCUGAGGUUACAUGAGGACUGGCAUUAAAUAAUUUAUAAAUGUAUUUUUGACUGACAGACUUUUAUCAUAAGGAUUCAUGUGUUUACAAAAGCAAAAUCCAACCUCUCCAGAGCUAGAAAGUGGGAAGGUGCCCGGGCUGCAAGCACAGCCUUGGGGGAGGAUGAGGCCACAUAAUUCUCUCUGCCCACACUCUCAGAAUGCCCCAAGAAGUUAGUAGCUACACAAAGCCAAGCCUUGGGGGAAAACCUGGUCCGUGGUGUGGACUCUCCAAAAUGCAGACCCAACCGGAGGCCGGGCCCGCCUUUCCAUCUGGAGGCACUGCAGGGCUUCUGAAAGCGGCCCAUCCCAGGAGCCUGGCAAACACCCCCAGAGACCCUCAGGAUGCGCCAGCCCCGGGGCUUUGUCCUGAGAAGCUGGAGCUCCGUGGCCCAGCUUGUGGAUGGGUGCCCAGGGGGCAGGCCCCAUGCCCUCAGCACGUGCUGACACGCUCCCUCCGGCUCCAACAACCACACCAGAACCUUCCGUAGAACAUUUAAGUAAUGAAGUCUCAACAUUACAGUAAAAAGGUGCAAAGGGUCUCUUUUACAAAUAUUUAUGUACAGCCAAGAUCUUGUUGAGUUCAGUAUAGCAUGCUGCGCGUACACAUACGCAGUGUGCACACGGAUUCAGGGAACUGAGCGGCACACUGAAGACGAGAUCACACGUGUGCACACGGAUUCGGGGAACUGAGCGGCACGCUGGAAGACGAGAUCACACAUGAUGCUAUUUUACUUUUGAUCCCAUGUGCUUUCCUGGGCAUGAUAUUUUAGAUGGAACUUUUUCUGGUCUGUGAUCUUUGGUAGAAAAAAGGUCUCUAGGAUUAUUAUAAAAAUGUUGCAUCUAUUAAAAAGAAAAGG
rnacentral:lncRNA from 1 species